rnacentral:rRNA from 1 species
GACGAACGCUGGCGGCGUGCCUAAUACAUGCAAGUCGAGCGGACCAAAGGGAGCUUGCUCCUGGAGGUUAGCGGCGAACGGGUGAGUAACACGUGGGCAACCUGCCUGUAAGACUGGGAUAACAUCGAGAAAUCGGUGCUAAUACCGGAUAAUAAAAAGAACUGCAUGGUUCUUUUUGAAAGAUGGUUUCGGCUAUCACUUACAGAUGGGCCCGCGGCGCAUUAGCUAGUUGGUGAGGUAACGGCUCGCCAAGGCAACGAUGCGUAGCCGACCUGAGAGGGUGAUCGGCCACACUGGGACUGAGACACGGCCCAGACUCCUACGGGAGGCAGCAGUAGGGAAUCUUCCGCAAUGGACGAAAGUCUGACGGAGCAACGCCGCGUGAGUGAUGAAGGUUUUCGGAUCGUAAAACUCUGUUGUUAGGGAAGAACAAGUGCCGUUCGAAAGGGCGGCACCUUGACGGUACCUAACGAGAAAGCCACGGCUAACUACGUGCCAGCAGCCGCGGU